ensembl:lncRNA
GUGUGUUUCUAAAUAAAAAGCUUCUUUGCAGCAGACUGCAGCAGCCAGCUUCACACUUUUUCAAAGGAAAAGCUUCACCUUCGCUGUUCCUUGCCAGUACACCUCAUUUAAAUUGAGCCUGGCUUUUUGACGACCGCCCAAGGAGGUUUCUCUGCAAUGUGAGGAGAACCACUGCACAGGGCUCGCUUGUUCCAAAGUAUGCUGGAGGGGUGCGGAGAAGUGAGCUGGCAGGGGAAAGAAUACAAAGUGCAACCCGAGCGAGCAGCCUGACCUCGCCAACCACAGUUCUGCUGUCCCCCGGCAGCUUUCACACGGCCGUGAUGCGUGCAGGCAGAUUGGAAGCACAGCUCGCAGUCCCAGGCAGCCCCACCUCAAAAAAGCAAGACAGAAAUGCCCGCAGAAAAAGAAAAGCUUUACACAACAGUGCAAGGAAGGAAGUGAAGAAAGCAGUUUGCCAUGCUGCAGCACACCAACAAUUUCCUGCAGCUCCUUAGGCCUGUGAGGAGAUCUUCUGAAACGCACUGUGGCAGAACUGGAUUUCUUGAAGCUUGGCCUCUCAGCACCCAUACAGAAGAACGGGAAAGAAAAGCAACUGCUGCUGGCAACUAGACGAGUCCCUGUAGUAGAUGCUCAGCAACAACCUGGUACUCAGAGCCCCAUGCUUUCAGUCCAAGUUGGACAGCGUUCUGAAAUCAUGGUCCCAUUCGCCUUUCCAAAGGUCUCACUCCUGAAGAAAAAGAUGGUAAGAGGAUGUGGGAAUAAACCUCUGUGGCUGAAUGAAAAGAACUGC